rnacentral:lncRNA from 1 species
GCACAUGUAGUUUGUGGUGAAUGCAAUUUCAGGGAACCAAGGCUUAAUCCCAGAGAUACAAUAAUAUCAGGCAUUGGACAGAGGAGCAAAGUCAGAGACAGCAGCUGAGAAGUUGAGAGCUGGCGUCAUUAGAACAGGCUGGGAAAUAUGAGUGUGAGGCAUGUCUCGGCAGGAAGGUCCAGCAUUGGCCGGGGAACAAAGCAGACUUCUUGGCAUGCCCUCUCGCUGAGGCUAUGUGAACUGCUGGGCAGGCCGGCCUGCUUAAAGAUCUCACUCCGGACAAGUAAACACCAAUACCACCAACCUGAGUAGGCCUUCCAUGAAAUACUGGGGACACUAAGAAGCCACACCCCCUGAAACAUUCUAUGGUCAUUCAGCAUUUGAAGCAAAUUGGAAAGGUGAAAAACCUGAUAAGUGGGUGCCUCAUGAGCUCACCGAAAAUUUUUUUAAAAAUUGUCGUUUUGAAGUGUCAUCUUCUCUUAUUCUAUGCAACAACAAUGAACCAUUUCUUGAUUGGAUUGUGAUGUGCGAGGAAAAGUGGAUUUUAUAUGACAACUGGCGAUGACCAGCUCAGUGGUUGGACCGAGAAGAAGCUCCAAAACACUUCCCAAAGCCAAACUUGCACCAAAAAAGGUCCUGGUCACUGCUUGGUGGGCUGCUGCUGGUCUGAUCCACUGCAGCUUUCUGAAUCCCUGGGAAACCAUUACACCUGAGAAGUAUGCUCAGCAAACCAAUGAGAUGCACCAAAAACUGCAAUGCCUGCAGCUGGCUUUGGUCAACAGGAAGGGCCCAAUUCUUCUCCACCACAAUGUCCGACUGCACAUCACAACCCACGCUUCAGAAGUUGAACAAAUUGGGCUACGAAGUUUUGCCUCAUCUCCCAUGUUCACCUGACCUCUCGCUGAGAAGUAGCUUUGGAGCUUCUUCUCGGUCCAAACACUGAGCUGGUCAUCGCCGGUUGUCAUAUAAAAUCCACUUUUCCUCGCACAUCACAAUCCAAUCAAGAAAUGGUUCAUUGUUGUUGCAUAGAAUAAGAGAAGAUGACACUUCAAAACUACCACUUCUUCAAGCAUCUCAACAACUUUUUGCAGGGAAAAUGCUUCCACAACCAGCAGGAUGCAGAAAAUGCUCUCCAAAAGUUUGUCAAAUCCUGAAGCAUGGAUUUUUAGGCUACAGGAAUAAACGUAUUUCUCACUGGCAGAAAUUUAUUGAUUGUAAUGAUUCCUUUUUUGGUUAAAGACAUGUUUGAGCCUAGUUAUAACGACUUACAAUUCACGGUCCAAAACUGCAAGUACUUUUUGCACCAGCGAGAUGUGCAUAUGAGAAGCUUAUUUCACCAAGCCUCUUAUCUAGUCAUCUGUAUAAUUAUUUCAAGCACAGGAGGGACCCUACUUCUUACUGGGGAGGAUUAAGGAAGGCUUCCUGGAGGAUUGUCUCAGAGCUUGCUGCAGGUGCAUAUUGAAAAGCAAUUCAUUACAAUUUUCUAUAAGAGACUGUGGCUGAACAAUGAUACACAGAUUAGCAAACUGAGGCUUGGAGAAGUGGAAAACUUGCCUAAGAUUAAACAGCAUUAAAGGAACAGAGGCUGGGCUUGCAACUCAGCUCUGGGACUCCAAAGUCUGCCCUUUCCAACUACAUCGUCUUGCUGAUCGCGAGCUCAGUUGAUGGUAAAGACCUGUGAUUUUGGCCAUUACAAACAGUGCUGUUGUGAAUGUUGUGCCUGCCUGUCUUCCAGCUGGACAUAGAGGUCAUUUUGACUGGCGCGGCAGAAUGAGGAGGGACAAGGUAGAGUAUGAGGAUCUCACUUUUUCUGUGAUUUGGUGAACAACAUGAACAACACUGGAGUUUAAAUGUUCCUAAGAGAGUCCCCAGGCUGUCCCUCAACACCAAGCCUCAGCAGCACAUGGGGAUGAACAGGGCACAGCGUCAGUUAAAAUUCAGUCUGUAGGAUCCGCAUUUCUCACCUGUGUCAGAGACACCUGGAUCCCACCCUGCAGGCCCCUCUCCCCUACCAAAGGUCUGUUGGGGCAACUCCCAGAGGGAAUCCAACAUGUGCCCUUGAUUUAGGCAAAUGUAGCUGUGAACGUUCUAAAGAGGAAUAGGAAAGAAGGGGCCUUGGUAUCAGAAUAGACUGAGCAGAAGAGAAAGACCCAGAAAAAGAAAGUAAUAGUAUAUGAUAAGGGGAGCAUUAAUCAAUUAAUUGCAGUGGGAGAAUCUGGCUAAGCAUUGGGGAAAACAGAAAAUUAUUUAGUCCAUAGCUCAUAUCAAAAUUAACUUCCGUAAAAAUAUGACAAUAAAAUAUGGGCAAUUUUUUUUUUUUUUACAACAGAGAAGGAGAGAGACUUUCUAUAUAAUCCAAAAAGUAAACCACCAUCAUCAUCAUCAACAUCUAAUACUCUGUGCUUUACUUCUAUCAAGUAAUUUAAUCCUCACAAUCACUUUGUUUGGUAACAUUAAUUUUUCUCAUUUUCUACAUGGUAAAAUUGAGGCACAGACAGGGUAAUUUUCCAAAGGCCCCAACAAGUGGCAGUGCCAGGAUUCAAAGCAAACAAGUAUGACUUCAGGGUUCCUCCUUCUAUAUUACCACAAAAGAAAAUAUUGAGAGAUGUGAAUACACGAAUUAAAAGCUGUAUGAAAAAAAAUCAUGUAGAGGAAAGGACAAAUGACUGGCGGAGGAGGGGGAAUCCCACCACAUAUGUAACAGAUAAAGCAUUAAUAUCCUUUACAGAACAAUUUCUCAAAUGUUAGUGCUCAGAACACCAAUGUCCUGAACCAUGCCAAUGGGUGUUCUGGGAGGAAAAAGAAAAAAGUCCUCACGGUCAAUGAAGUUUAGGAAAUGAUGUGUUAAAUCUGACCAUGGAAGUCUUUUUUCCCCUCAGUUCACCUAUUAACAUCUCACGGGACAAUAAAACUUCUGAAAUACAGCCCAGAAGAUCUCAUCUUUGUAUGUAAUGAGUUCCUACAAAUCAGGAAGGAAAAUAUGAAAAAUCCCAAUAGAAAAAUGGACGCGAGAAAAAACAGACAGUUCAAAAAAGAAAAAAUAUAAAUAGCUGUAAGCAUACAGAAACAUAUUCAACCUUGUUAUUAACGAAGGAAAAUGAAAUACAGAGGUACCAAUUUUUAUCUUUCAAUUGGGAAAAAAGGCUUACACCCAGCAUUUGUAAGAGUAGGAGGAAAAAACCACACUCUUACAAAAUCAGUGAGAUUGACUAAACAAGUACACCUUUUCUAUGGGAGGGCAAUUUGGCACUAUGUAUCAAAGGUCUUAAAAAAAUAUAUAACUUGAUCUAGCAAAGUUUGUUCAGAGAAACUUAUAAAGAAAUACAGUAGGUCCUAGAAUAAUGUUUUUCCUGUCAUUCAACAUUAUUUUCUUGCAACAUUGACAAGAAAAAAUAUUGAUUCCCUGCCGGGGCCACUGUCUGUGUGGAGUGUGCACGUUCUCCCCAUGUCUGCAUGGCUUCUGUCCAUGCACUCCCGUUGCCUCACACAUUCUGAAGCUGUGCAUGCUAGGUGAACUGGCUUGUCUCAAUGGCCCCAGUCUGAGUGGGUGUGGGCGGGUGUGUGAGUGCACCCUGCGAUAGGAUGACGUCCUGUCCAGAGUUAGUUCCCACCUUGCACCCUGAGCUCCCAGGACAGGCUCUGGUCACCCAAGACCCUGAACUGGAAUAACUGGGUAAAAAAUGACCUGACUUAUUUUUAUUAA